AGCCUCCUGACUCUCUUCUCAUGCACCAGGGUGCCUCAUGUUUCCAAUUUCUAUGAAUUCCUGGAAUUUGACCAGCAUCCUGUUCCCCCCAAAAAGCUGCCAUAUUCUUCAACCUGGAAGAUUCAGAGACCAAGACUCAAGGUUCUCAUUGGCCGCAAUAGAACCUGGGACAUGUGAACCCCCCAGAUGAGCAAGCCAGUUUUGCUGUCCUGUGACUCUCCACACACAGAGACUGAGGUGCUCAUUGUCUUCAGGGAGAGAGCAGAUCUUCCAAGAAUAAUGGAGUCAAAACCACGCAAUUAUUUUCUCAAUUUAGAGGGUUGACAAGAGACAUGAAAUCCCCCAACUUUCAAAUGUAAGGGCUGGAUAUUUAAAAGAGAAAGUUGUUUUCUCAGAAAUCUCAAAGAUGGGCUUUGAAAUACCAACUCACUGAGCAUAAAAAACUGAACUAUAGAAUUCUAAGUAUAAACAUAGAGUAGGGAGAUGUGGAAUAGGAAAAAUGUGUAGAGAUUUGAGGUAAGCCCAUUCUUACCUGGAGCAGUACGCUUAGAAAGGGAGAGAAGAGACAGAGUUGAGAUAAUUCUGACUUUGGUAGCUCUGGGACUAAAAACCUUCUGUGGGAGAAAACAAAACCCAGGUAGGUCAAGAAUGCAGAGGCUGGAGUACCAUUUCUCUUUAGAAAGUCUUGAAAGGGAUCACCUGAUAAGUAAAUUGAACCACCUGUGCCAGGGUAGAACUGUUUAAUCUGAAAGUAUCUUAAAUAGAUCCUUACUUUCCACUUCAGCACAAAAGUGAAAACAAUCCAAAUAUUCCACUAUAGUCCUGUCAGAGCAACAAGGAAGACAAUGGAGAAUGGAGAAUAUCAGUUUGUGUAAUAACUAGCUGUUUCCAUUUCUGGGAAAAUAUUUGACACUCACAUUUUAAAAGAGGAGAGACUUCUUUUGGUUCACAGUUUUAGAGAUUUCAAUCCAUGGCUGACCUGGCUCCAAGGACAAAUCAUCAUGGCAAAGGAUACGGUGGAGCAAAGCUGAUCGCCUCAUGGCAGCCAGAAGUGGAGAGCAAGAGGAAAGGCAGAGAUGAAGAAGCCAGGGACCAUAUAUAGUCCCCAAGGUCACAUUGUAUUACCUACUCCAUCCAACUAGCCCCACUUCCUCCACUAGCCCCCACUUCCUGCUCUAGGCCCCACUUCCUAACAGCCCAUUCAGCUGUGAUCUCAUCAGUGAGGUUAGUGCUCUUUCAAUCCAAACAUCUCCCCAGGAGUCUCUUAAUUCAGUCAAAUUGACAAUCAAGAUUAACUUGCACAGUGUGUAAAGAGUUCUCAUACCUUUAGCAUUUUGGAAAAAUGCUACGGUAUAGUGAAAUGUGACCCCGAGCCUAGGCUGUGAGGCAAACAACUCAAACCAGGAGGCAGAGGAGGAACAUAGAAGGAGCACAGAGUGUGAACCUCAGUCGACAGAUUUUAAGUCCAAAUUUCACUAGUGACUGAGCAGACUUGAAGUAGACAGAUCAAACAUUUUCUAGACUGAAUUGGUAGCAGAUGGGUAAGUUAGAUAAUUUAUCGGAAAUGAUUUAUAUUUUCCCAAUAGUGUAUACAUUGUACCUACAACAAAGAUGGACACACCAAGUGUGGGGACACUGAAGGAAGUAAAAAUCAUAUUACAUUGGGGAACAGAGGGAUCAGCCCACUAUCACACACUUUUACUCCCUUUAAAGUGAAAUUAUGGAAUUUUGACAAAUAGAAAUGAGGCAGAGACAUUUCAGA